rnacentral:rRNA from 1 species
CUUGCUCCACCGGAAAAAGAGGAGUGGCGAACGGGUGAGUAACACGUGGGUAACCUGCCCAUCAGAAGGGGAUAACACUUGGAAACAGGUGCUAAUACCGUAUAACAAUCAAAACCGCAUGGUUUUGAUUUGAAAGGCGCUUUCGGGUGUCGCUGAUGGAUGGACCCGCGGUGCAUUAGCUAGUUGGUGAGGUAACGGCUCACCAAGGACCCGAUGCAUAACCGACCUGAGACG